rnacentral:lncRNA from 7 species
UUUUGUUUGAUGUAAUUUCAUAAAAAAGAAUAUCGCUGCAGAUGUUCGAUGCCGCAAGUCUUUAUUCAAUAGUUUCUAGAUAACAUAUGUGUGCCAACGCUAUUGAUCUAAAAAGAACCACUGUGACAUGUUCAUUGCAACUAAUAAAACAAACUUAUUCAAAAUAUAUAGUAACUAUGUUGAAUUGAAAAAUGGUCAUCAUGCAUUCACUGAUCACCAUAAGGUGUUAUCUCUUUUAGUGUACAUUCAUAAUAUGUUUAUGUGCUCUAUUUAUCUUCUUAACUGUAGGUGCACUUUGUAAUUAAUCGCAUUGUAUAAUAACAUUGUCAACAUUUCAUAUCUCUAAGUUUGACUUGCAAACUUUUGAACAAAUAAUACUAUGUUCUUUGUUUUGACAUCAAACCAAAUAGGAACAAAGAAUAAA